rnacentral:rRNA from 1 species
GACGAACGCUGGCGGCGUGCUUAACACAUGCAAGUCGAACGGAAAGGCCCUGCUUUUGUGGGGUGCUCGAGUGGCGAACGGGUGAGUAACACGUGAGUAACCUGCCCUUGACUUUGGGAUAACUUCAGGAAACUGGGGCUAAUACCGGAUAGGAGCUCCUGCUGCAUGGUGGGGGUUGGAAAGUUUCGGCGGUUGGGGAUGGACUCGCGGCUUAUCAGCUUGUUGGUGGGGUAGUGGCUUACCAAGGCUUUGACGGGUAGCCGGCCUGAGAGGGUGACCGGCCACAUUGGGACUGAGGUACGGCCCAGAAUCCUACGGGGGGCAGCAGUGGGGAAUAUUGCACAAUGGGCGGAAGCCUGAUGCAGCAACGCCGCGUGCGGGAUGACGGGCUUCGGGUUGUAAACCGCUUUCGCCUGUGACGAAGCGUGAGUGACGGUAAUGGGUAAAGAAGCACCGGCGAACUACG